rnacentral:lncRNA from 1 species
GACUUGAUGCUCCUUGAUCAACCUCAAGAUCACUCCUACCAAAGUUGCAUCCAUCUUCUGAUGUCCCAUCCUUGAUCUGAUCAACCUCAAGAUCACUCCUACCAGAGUUGCAUCCAUCUUCUGAUGUCCCAUCCUUGAUCUCAUCACGUAAGCCACUUUUGGCUAAGGACACCUCUUCAACCCUCUUGGGUUUAGUGAACGUCUUGUUCACCUUUUUGGCCAUGUUUCUGCUCCUCUCACGAGCAAAACAUUCCACCUUCUUGUCUCCAAACUUCCCACAUAAUCAACAGCACAUCUGAUGUUGCUUCUUGCUUUGCCUGACACAGUUGCUGGUGCACCGA